GCCGGAGUGGUGGAAUUGGUAGACGCAGAGGACUCAAAAUCCUCCGGGCUUUAUGCUCUUGCGAGUUCAAGUCUCGCCUCCGGUACCA
rnacentral:tRNA from 1 species